rnacentral:rRNA from 1 species
UGAACGCUGGCGGCGUGCCUAAUACAUGCAAGUCGAGCGACCGGACGAGAAGCUUGCUUCUCUGAUGUUAGCGGCGGACGGGUGAGUAACACGUGGAUAACCUACCUAUAAGACUGGGAUAACUUCGGGAAACCGGAGCUAAUACCGGAUGAUAUUUUGAACCGCAUGGUUCAAAAGUGAAAGACGGUCUUGCUGUCACUUAUAGAUGGAUCCGCGCUGCAUUAGCUAGUUGGUAAGGUAACGGCUUACCAAGGCAACGAUGCAUAGCCGACCUGAGAGGGUGAUCGGCCACACUGGAACUGAGACACGGUCCAGACUCCUACGGGAGGCAGCAGUAGGGAAUCUUCCGCAAUGGGCGAAAGCCUGACGGAGCAACGCCGCGUGAGUGAUGAAGGUCUUCGGAUCGUAAAACUCUGUUAUUAGGGAAGAACAUAUGUGUAAGUAACUGUGCACAUCUUGACGGUACCUAAUCAGAAAGCCACGGCUAACUACGUG